GAAUGUUACUUCCAUAUGUGGAUAGUGGCCAGAUCAUUAUAUGUUCACAAUUUCAAUGGACAAUAAGGAGAAUAAGAAGCUUACAAAAUAUAUACAUCUACCCCACAGAGCUCAUUCCUGGAGUAACUGAGUAAUCAGAAAUAUCAGGAAGAGUCAUAUUCGGACCUAAAAAGAAGUAUUUCAUUGAAGUUGGAGAUCUUGGACUUGGGAU